rnacentral:lncRNA from 1 species
ACAUUCCUAUUUAUAGUUACACUCAGAUACAGUUAUUCUCGUUAACUUUUGGGUUGGAGGGGCAGCAGUCCCCCAGGAGUUGAAACAAAGAGCACGUCUGCCACCUCCUGGACACUCAGAGGAACUCAAAGGAUUUUUCCACAGGAAGAGGGGGAGUUUGAUGAAUUUCGUUUCAAAUUUACUUCAACAGUAGAGAAUUUAGCCAAGUACUAAACAGAUUCAUUUUUGCCUUUGUGAAGGCGUGCACGCCUUUGAUCAUUCAGUCGUUUGAAUGAACUCAACGUGGUUGUUUCCGCUUUGGCCUCGAAGUCUUGGCACCGCACCGCCUCUGCGUAGCCGAGCCUCACAGCCUCCAGCUGGGCUUCCUUAGUUUUGGCAGGGACUGCCUUCCCACUGAUGGAAGGUUUACAAAGAAAAAAAUCGUUAUGUCUGAAAUUCUGCCAGGACACAUCAGUGUAUUUCCAGGCUGCCAGCUAUUGUGUAACUCUCUGAAGAUUUAAUAUUUAAAAACAAAAUUGAAAUGCACCUGUUUCUAAGGAAAACCACCUUGUCAUAUGAUAGCAUGCUUUUGUUAAAUCAGAAAAUUUUAAAUUUUAUUUAUUUGGGUUUCCAACUUGGGUUUCUUCCCUUAGGCUUCUGAUCUCUUUGUUAAGUACAACUUGCUUCUAAGGUCACCCUCCCACCCUCCACAAUUAGCCCGGAGAUUUACCAGGGGUUCUGGCACCAACUUUACCCAGCAAGCUGAGCGCAGCGCUGUUUGUGGUUAUACGCUAAGUGAUUCCGCAACUAUGCUAUCUUUAGAGUCUUGUCUCAUCCCACACAAAGCUCUUUUCAGACCCAGUUUGACAUUCUGAUAUUGUACCGUGGCUCUGCAGGGUCAGAGAGUAUAAUGCGGCAAUUCAGUAUCUGUCUUACAGCAGAAAGGGGGUUCAGUGUUGAGUUAAAGGACAGGCUGAUGACAAGGAGGGAGAAGCAACGUUCAGUGGAUUCUGCCACUUUGCUCUGGCGUGGGAAACUUGCAUUAAACAAAACUUUCUUCCAAGCCGACUGUCCCACCCUAGACAAUUUGAAGAGAAGUAAUGCUUAUUCAAGACUGCCACCUCAAGUUUUGCUGAAUUCUCUGUCACUGGUGCUGUCAUCCACCAAGUUCCAGAUUUGUUUUUACUGUAAGAGCACAUGGAAAAGUCGAGGGUGCUAUUAG